rnacentral:tRNA from 1 species
GAGGGUAUAGUUCAGUGGUAAAGUCCAUGCUUAGCAAGCAUGAGGUCCUGGGUUUAAUCCCCAGUACCUCUG